CUAUUCGUCCAUUGCCGUUUCUCACAGCACGUCUGGAGGUUUUCAAGGCUCGUCUGGGGACGUCCUUUCUUUCGCCCUGACGAUAGCUUCUGCUCCAUCGAGGAUUGGUGGCUACAGGCCAGAGCAGGAGUGCCAAUGAGGAUGUGUCGUAACUUUGACACUAUCACUAUCCUGAUUCAUUGGCGGUUGUGGAAGGAAAGAAACUCCAGGAUUUUCGACCAGAUAGCUAACAGUGCAGACAGGGUGCUAAAUCUCAUUUGCGAAGACAUUGCCGUCUGGCGGUCAGCGGGAUGCGUCAUGGAUCUGGGUGUUUAG
rnacentral:rRNA from 1 species